GAUGAAGAACGUAGCGAAAUGCGAUAAGUAAUGUGAAUUGCAGAAUUCAGUGAAUCAUCGAAUCUUUGAACGCACAUUGCGCCCGCUAGUAUUCUGGCGGGCAUGCCUGUUCGAGCGUCAUUUCAACCAUCAAGCCCCAGGCUUGUGUUGGAGCCCUGCGGCUGCCGCAGCCUCCCAAAACCAGUGGCGGGCUCGCUAUCACACCGAGUGCAGUAGUUUACUCUUCGCUCAGGGCGUGUGGCGGGUGCUAGCCGUAAAACCCCCAACUUCUCAAGGUUGACCUCGGAUCAGGUAGGAAUACCCGCUGAACUUAAGCAUAUCAAUAAGCGGAGGA
rnacentral:misc_RNA from 1 species